rnacentral:rRNA from 1 species
UACAGAGACUGCAAGCGUUAUUCGGAUUCACUGGGCGUAAAGGGCGCGCAGGCGGCCAAGUGUGUGAGGCGUGAAAGCCUGGGGCUUAACUCCAGAAUUGCACCUCAAACUACAUGGCUAGAGCAUUGGAGAGGGUAGCAGAAUUCACGGUGUAGCAGUGAAAUGCGUAGAUAUCGUGAGGAAUACCAGAGGCGAAGGCGGCUACCUGGACAAUUGCUGACGCUCAGGCACGAAAGCGUGGGGAGCAAAAGGG